CCCUUAGAUGUCCUGGGCUGCACGCGCGCUACACUGACACAUGCAACGAGUUUUUCCUUACCUGAAAGGGUUGGGUAAUCUCCUUGAAAGUGUGUCGUGAUGGGGAUAGAUUAUUGCAAUUAUUAAUCUUCAACGAGGAAUUCCUAGUAAGUGCAAGUCAUCAGCUUGCGCUGAUUACGUCCCUGCCCUUUGUACACACCGCCCGUCGCUCCUACCGAUUGAAGUUUUCGGUGAGCUGGCAGGAGGAAUUUUUUGAAACUGGUUCGCUAGUGGAUUUUAGUUCCAAAUGCCAACGAAUCGAUGGCUUUAGAGGAAGGAGAAGUCGUAACA
rnacentral:rRNA from 1 species